rnacentral:rRNA from 1 species
GGGCCCGCACAAGCGGUGGAGUAUGUGGUUUAAUUCGAUGCAACGCGAAGAACCUUACCAGGGCUUAAAUGUAGUCUGACAGGGGUGGAAACACCCCCUCCUUCGGGCAGAUUACAAGGUGCUGCAUGGUUGUCGUCAGCUCGUGCCGUGAGGUGUCAGGUUAAGUCCUAUAACGAGCGCAACCCCUGCCGUUAGUUGCCAGCAUGUAAUGAUGGGAACUCUAACGGGACUGCCGGUGCAAACCGCGAGGAAGGUGGGGAUGACGUCAAAUCAUCACGGCCCUUACGUCCUGGGCUACACACGUGCUACAAUGGCCGGUACAGAGGGCAGCCACACCGCAAGGUGGAGCGAAUCCUUAAAACCGGUCUCAGUUCGGAUCGGGGUCUGCAACUCGGCCCCGUGAAGCUGGAAUC